UAAGCAUAUCAAUAAGCGGAGGAAAAGAAACCAACAGGGAUUGCCUCAGUAACGGCGAGUGAAGCGGCAACAGCUCAAAUUUGAAAUCUGGCCCUAGGCCCGAGUUGUAAUUUGCAGAGGAUGCUUUUGGUGCGGUGCCUUCCAAGUUCCCUAGAACGGGACGCCAGAGAGGGUGAGAGCCCCGUACAGUUGGACACCAAGCCUUUGUAAAGCUCCUUCGACGAGUCGAGUAGUUUGGGAAUGCUGCUCAAAAUGGGAGGUAUAUUUCUUCUAAAGCUAAAUACCGGCCAGAGACCGAUAGCGCACAAGUAGAGUGAUCGAAAGAUGAAAAGCACUUUGAAAAGAGGGUUAAACAGCACGUGAAAUUGUUAAAAGGGAAGCGCUUGUGACCAGACUUGCGUCCGGUGAAUCACCCAGCUCUCGCGGCUGGGGCACUUCGCCGGCUCAGGCCAGCAUCAGCUCGCUGUCGGGGACAAAAGCUUCAGGAACGUAGCUCUCUUCGGGGAGUGUUAUAGCCUGUUGCAUAAUACCCUUCGGCGGGCUGAGGUACGCGCUCCGCAAGGAUGCUGGCAUAAUGGUCAUCAGCGACCCGUCUUGAAACACGGACCAAGGAGUCAACCUUAUGUGCGAGUGUUCGGGUGUCAAACCCCUACGCGUAAUGAAAGUGAACGCAGGUGAGAGCUUCGGCGCAUCAUCGACCGAUCCUGAUGUUCUCGGAUGGAUUUGAGUAAGAGCAUAUAGGGUUGGACCCGAAAGAAGGUGAACUAUGCGUGUAUAGGGUGAAGCCAGAGGAAACUCUGGUGGAGGCUCGCAGCGGUUCUGACGUGCAAAUCGAUCGUCAAAUAUGCGCAUGGGGGCGAAAGACUAAUCGAACCUUCUAGUAGCUGGUUUCCGCCGAA
rnacentral:rRNA from 1 species